rnacentral:rRNA from 1 species
UGCCACUCUUAACGGGGUGGCUUUUCAGAAGUGUAAAAAGCUUCUGGAAUAAGGGCUGGGCAAGACCGGUGCCAGCCGCCGCGGUAACACCGGCAGCUCAAGUGGUAGCCGCUUUUAUUGGGCCUAAAGCGUCCGUAGCCGGUCUGAUAAGUCUCUGGUGAAAUCCCACAGCGUAACUGUGGGAAUUGCUGGAGAUACUAUCAUGACUCGAGGUCGGGAGAGGCUGGAGGUACUCCCAGGGUAGGGGUGAAAUCCUGUAAUCCUGGGAGGACCACCUGUGGCGAAGGCGUCCAGCUGGAACGAACCUGACGGUGAGGGACGAAAGCCAGGGGCGCGAACCGGAUUAGAUACCCGGGUAGUCCUGGCCGUAAACGAUGUGGACUUGGUGUUGAGAUGGCUUCGAGCUGCCCCAGUGCCGAAAGGGAAGCUGUUAAGUCCACCGCCUGGGAAGUACGGCCGCA